AUCCAGCUGAUGAGUACCAAAUAGGACGAAACGCGCGUCCUGGAU
rnacentral:hammerhead_ribozyme from 1 species